rnacentral:rRNA from 1 species
GGGAAUUCGAUUAGAGUUUGAUCAUGGCUCAGAACGUACGCUGGCGGCACGCCUAACACAUGCAAGUCGAACGAAGUAGCAAUACUUAGUGGCAGACGGGUGAGUAACAUGUAGGUAUCUACCCUUUGGCCUGGAAUAACACGAGGAAACUUGUGCUAAUACCGGAUAAGUCUUUACGGAGAAAGCUUUAUGCACCAUUGGAUGAGCCUGCACUUGAUUAGUUUGUUGGUAGGGUAAUGGCCUACCAAGACUGUGAUCAAUAGCUGAUUUGAGAGGAUGAUCAGCCACAUUGGGACUGAGACACGGCCCAAACUCCUACGGGAGGCAGCAGUGGGGAAUCUUGCACAAUGGAGGAAACUCUGAUGCAGCGAUGCCGCGUGAGUGAAGAAGGCCUUUGGGUUGUAAAGCUCUUUCGUCGGGGAAGAAAAUGACUGUACCCGAAUAAGAAGGUCCGGCUAACUUCGUGCCAGCAGCCGCGGUAAUACGAAGGGACCUAGCGUAGUUCGGAAUUACUGGGCUUAAAGAGUUCGUAGGUGGUUGAAAAAGUUGGUGGUGAAAUCCCAGAGCUUAACUCUGGAACUGCCAUCAAAACUUUUCAGCUAGAGUUUGAUAGAGGAAAGCAGAAUUUCUAGUGUAGAGGUGAAAUUCGUAGAUAUUAGAAAGAAUACCAAUUGCGAAGGCAGCUUUCUGGAUCAUUACUGACACUGAGGAACGAAAGCAUGGGUAGCGAAGAGGAUUAGAUACCCUCGUAGUCCAUGCUGUAAACGAUGUGUGUUAGACGUUGGAAAUUUAUUUUCAGUGUCGCAGCGAAAGCGAUAAACACACCGCCUGGGGAGUACGACCGCAAGGUUAAAACUCAAAUGAAUUGACGGGGACCCGCACAAGUAGUGGAGCAUGUGGUUUAAUUCGAAGAUACGCGCAGAACCUUACCAACACUUGACAUGUUCGUCGCGACUUUAAGAGAUUAAAGUUUUCGGUUCGGCCGGACGAAACACAGGUGCUGCAUGGCUGUCGUCAGCUCGUGUCGUGAGAUGUUGGGUUAAGUCCCGCAACGAGCGCAACCCUCACUUUUAGUUGCCAUCAUUUAGUUGGGCACUCUGAAAGAACUGCCAGUGAUAAGCUGGAGGAAGGUGGGGAUGACGUCAAGUCCUCAUGGCCCUUACGUGUUGGGCUACACACGUGCUACAAUGGUAUUUACAACAGGAAGCAAAACAGCGAUGUUAAGCAAAUCCUCAAAAGAUACCUCAGUUCGGAUUGCACUCUGCAACUCGAGUGCAUGAAGCUGGAAUUACUAGUAAUCGUGGAUCAGCGUGCCACGGUGAAUGCGUUCCC